CCCUGGCUUCGAGCCGUCAGAUGGUGCGUCUCCCCUGUCAUUUAAGGGACUCACCUUCAUGAAAUAGAACUCGGCAUUCUUAAGGUUUUAGAAAAUAAAGAGAUCGAGAAAAUGAUUCUCUCAGAUAUUUUCUGCAGAUGUGCUUUUUUGUCAAAUUUCCUGUAUGGUUCGUAUGUUACAAGGUUGAAAGAAGAAAAAUUUCUUUCUUCUCCAAAGUUGGUCAGUACAUGUUAGAAAUGCUGAGUCAUGCUGUUUCAGUGAUUGAAAAACGUUCCAGUGAUAUUUAGUGUGGUAGUCAUGGCUUAAAUACUGGCUUUUAUUGAUUUAAAGGGAUUAAGAAGAACAAAUUUAUGUAGUUCCAUCAUGAUGAAGGUUGGUUUGCACGCUCUAAUUAAGAAGAACAAAUUUCUGUAGAACAGCUAGAGCUUCUGCGGAUGGGUGCAACAUUGCCCUAAUUUCCCCAAAAGAAUCAUCAAAGUUUUCUUCUUUCUGCAAAUCAUUUUCGAGAAUAUUUUUUUUUCUGUUUUUUUUUUCAUUUCUUACUAACUCGGUUACACAAUGAAUUAAUUGUUUUCUUCUAUUCCCUUUUAUUUUUUCCCACUGGUCUAUAAAACCUGAACACAGAACCUUCUACAAAUUAUAAAUGUGCAUUAUAUUUUAAGAAAUGAUUUGUGUAUUUCGAUUCUUUUAUUGCCACAAUCUAUAGUUCUUCAAACCUCACACGACGAAGAAGAUUGCAAAUAUACUUUUAUAACAAAAAAUGAAACCAUUUAUCAAAUAAGUAGUUUGUGUUUGUGCGUGAGAUUGAGAAUGAGUUGGAGCAGUAUCUAAGUUUUAACAUCUGUCCUACUCUUCUUCUAAAUCUCGCUUUCAUGGACAGACUUUCCCUCCUUCAGCCUUACCUUCAUAUAUAAAUAUUCAUCGUUAUAUCUCUUUGUUAAUUCAUAUUUGUGUUUGGUAAGCAAAAUUCCAGCUGUCUACACCAGCAAUUACAUUCGCUUCUCCAUAUUUAUGCAACUCAGUAUCUUCCAUCUUCAUGAUUUUCUCCCGGUCUUUUUCUACUUAAAUUCUAUCGACAUGGAUUUCUUUGGAGCUUUGUAGUUCAUGAAUUUGCCCCAAUUUUGAACACAAAUCACGUAAGUGAAUGUGUUGGAAUUGGAAUUGGCUAGCAUAUUUCGCGGAUUGUUGGUGAUUAGUCAUAAUCUUUGGGACCUGAGAAACGAAGGCAGAUGAUUUUCUUCUUCAGAAGAGGAUCAAUACCAUCAACUUUUGGGGCGAAGAGAGGAUUUCCCGCUUCACAUGUUGGUUUCUCUGUUAUCGUACCUGGUGUUUGGGUUCCUUCCACAGGUUGUAUCUGGGUUUUCAUUCCGUGAGAGCAACGACAAAAUCAGGGCUACCUCCUAAACAUGUUGAAAAUCAGGGCUACUUCCUAAACAUGUUGAGAGGUUUGUAUUUGCGGUUCAAGGUUUGGUGAUUCUCACUAAUGUUUCAGGAAUUUGCCAAACACUGAUGGUAGACUCGUUUGCUUACCUACCUCCUAACUCAAAGCAUCACUUUGAGAGUUAUGAAUCUUCUACACUUGUUGUAUUUGAAAAAAGGUAUGCUUACCUAGAAGAUCAUAUUACCGAGCCAAUUGUUGGCUCCACCAAUUAGCAGCCACUUCUUGAUACCCCUGGAGACGUAUUCCAACUGAGGAAGCUUCUUCCUAUAUCUCUGCCUUACAACAUCAACGUUCAUGCAGAUCAUGGACUUCCAACCUGGCAAAUUUCUUAAUGUAAAAGAAGUCAUAAUCAACAUGGUUUGUUACUUCUAGAAGGACAAGGCAUUUAUUGUCUGGGUGAUAGCUGACUGAAGACGUCACUGCCCUCUUGAGUCUCAAGAAAAUGCAAAACCCUGCAGUGACACUGUUACCUUUAGGUUUACCAAUCCAAUCUACAUGUCACAUUCCCUAGUAACUAAUUCACUAGGAUCCAUCAAAGGCUCUAUCUUUCUGCUGAAGAGAACCGUCCCCUUUGAUUACUGAUAAAUUGAUGGUCAUUCAUAUUUUCUUUAUCUAUCCCCUCAAAAUGAAUUGUAUCUCAAUUAUUGCAGUUUCAAACUGAGAAGAAGCAUUCAGAUUGUCUGGAUGUCUUAAGUGAGACACACAACAGAGCCUCAGAUCAAAAGAUCCAGAUUGGUGCUGAUCCAGGUGAUGGUUACACAAAGCACAUUUUUAGAGGCUAGAUGCAAAUGUGCAUCCUUAGUUCAGUCCUUGAUAAGUGCCUAAGGCUGCUUGGUUUUGAGUCGGCAGCACCUUGCGAUACCUCUUGCAAACUCAGCUAUCUUCUGCUUGUGGGUGGCUUGUAAUUUCAAGUGAUGGAGUCUGGGAUGCUCUUUGCACUGAAUCAGCUCUGGAAUGCAGUCGCGGAUUGGCUCUGGAAUCAGCAGUAGGACAAAUUGUCAAAGUACGGAAACAAAA